rnacentral:snRNA from 3 species
GCCCUCUUCAGCAGUACAUAUAUUAAAACUGGAACCAUACAGAGAAGAUUAGCAUGGCCCCUGCGCAAGGAUGACACACAAAUUUGCGAAGCGUUCCAUAUUUUU